ACUGCUAAUAAUGGAACUCUCCCAAGGCUUUUUAAGCACUUCAUACUUUUUAAAACUCUUUUGCUAUUGGUAUGACAGAGGGGACUGCAGACCUCAGCUGACUUUUUCUGUGGUUGUAACAAAUUGACAGAGAACAGCCUAGAACCUAGAGUGAUGGUGUGACAAUGGUCAGUCUCUGGACAUUCUUUCCAGUUAUUUUGUACGUGGUCCCACCCAAGGUAGAAUGGGAAAAUACCCUCAUGUCCACUGACCAGAUGAGAACUGGAGUUCAAAGACAAAGAACAAGUCAACACUGAAUCCCAUUCAAAAACUGGUAUAGCCAGGAAGCAGAAGGGAAGAGAGGGAAGAGGGUUGGGAAAAAAAGAAUUAAGAUGCUAAUGUACAUGUACCAACUCCCCAUGAGGUGGGUAGUCAUUAUGUACUAUAAAUAUGUACCAAUACAAUUUUUUAAAUUAAAAAUUCUUUAUCCUGGAAGUGACAACAUGUCAGGAAGAUCUUAAUAAAUGUAUACCUAAAAAAACAAACAGUAACCAAGCACACAAAGUCCGCUGAGGUAUGUUAUGAGUGUACGGGUGAACAGGAGGGUGUGGCUACUAUUAGGAUAAGAGUAGAAAAUGAAAUACACAGUAGUGUGCAAGGUGAAACAGUUGUACAGAGGUGGAAGUAAUUUCUUUUAUAUAAGAUUGAGAAAACAUCCACCCAGUUACAAAUAGAACUGUGUUUAAAAAUUAACUGGAAGAACAAUAUCACAGGAGGUUAAGCAAUUUCUAAUUCUGUAAUUUAUUAUGGGAUUGGGCCACAGUAUCAUCUCAAAUGCUUGAAAAACUAGUCUUGUGGUUUACUCAGAAGUUUGGACAAGCCAAGUGUAGUGGUGCAGGCCUGUGAUCCCCACACCCUCAGAGGCUGACACGGAUGGGAUUGCCAAGUUCGAGCCAGUCUAAAGCAACUUAGCAAAACCGUGUCUCAAAAUAGAAAAUAAAAAUGAGCUGGAAAGUAGCUCAAUGCAAAGAUGCUGGGUUCAAUCCCAAGGACAGAGGAGGAGAAAACAAAGAGGAGGAGGAAGAGGAGGCAGGGGAAUCAGCUUUGAACACGGAGCACUA
ensembl:lncRNA